rnacentral:rRNA from 1 species
CCUACGGGGGGCUGCAGUGGGGAAUAUUGGACAAUGGGGGCAACCCUGAUCCAGCCAUGCCGCGUGUGUGAAGAAGGCCCUCGGGUGGUAAAGCACUUUCAGUGAGGAAGAACGCCUGGUGGUUAAUACCCAUCAGGAAAGACAUCACUCACAGAAGAAGCACCGGCUAACUCCGUGCCAGCAGCCGCGGUAAUACGGAGGGUGCGAGCGUUAAUCGGAAUUACUGGGCGUAAAGCGCGCGUAGGUGGCUUGAUAAGCCGGUUGUGAAAGCCCCGGGCUCAACCUGGGAACGGCAUCCGGAACUGUCAAGCUAGAGUGCAGGAGAGGAAGGUAGAAUUCCCGGUGUAGCGGUGAAAUGCGUAGAGAUCGGGAGGAAUACCAGUGGCGAAGGCGGCCUUCUGGACUGACACUGACACUGAGGUGCGAAAGCGUGGGUAGCAAACAGGAUUAGAUACCCGUGUAGUC